AAGACGAGAAGACCCUGCCGAGCUUGAUCAGGUUUAGCAUAAAGUGUUAAACUAAAAGGUAGUUGGGGAGAGCUAAACUUUAGAGAAUAGGUUUUUGGAAAACGUGGAUCCUCUCGGAGAGAAAGUAGGUAAAAGCUACCGCAGGGAUAACAGCGUAAUUUCCCUUAAGAGAUCGUAUUGAGUGGGAAGUUUGCGACCUCGAUGUUG
rnacentral:rRNA from 1 species